UGGGUGAUGAGGGUGACUCUUGAUGCUUU
rnacentral:piRNA from 1 species